GCGCGAACUGUUUGUCUUUCUUUGGAUCAGUUCGGACUGGAAGCUUUGGGGAAAGAGUUUAUAACGGUUCAAUCUUUUCUCCACCCCUGGCUGACAGCUCGGGAUUAAUAGGAAAUGAACACAUCGGCCAUCCCCCACUCCACUACUGAUGAUUUGUUGGGUGUCAUGUGAGGGUUUUCUGGGUUUCACAUGGCUAGUUGGAGUUGGAUAUUGUAUUUUGGCUAUAAAAUCUUUGUUAUUUAUACCAUGGUCAUGGAAAAUGGUUAAAAUCUAAAUGGCUGGCAGUAAUCAUCUAUCAAGACAAACUUAUCGCUUGUCGCUAAUUAAAACGUUAUCUUGUGUGUUUAGGCCGUAGAAUCUCGUGUGUCUCCUGGCUUUAGCUUUAUAUGUAGAGUAUGGUAUCAUGAG